ACGGAAGGCAGCAGUGAGGAAUAUUGGUCAAUGGGCGGAAGCCUGAACCAGCCAAGUCGCGUGAAGGAUGAAGGUAUUAUGUAUUGUAAACUUCUUUAGCAGUGGAGUAAUAAGGGGAUCGUGAUCCCUGAUGCAAGUACACUGAAAAUAAGGAUCGGCUAACUCCGUGCCAGCAGCCGCGGUAAUACGGAGGAUCCGAGCGUUAUCCGGAUUUAUUGGGUUUAAAGGGUGCGCAGGCGGCUUUUUAAGUCAGCGGUAAAAUCGUGGGGCUCAACCCCAUCCUGCCGUUGAUACUGGAGAGCUUGAUUGCGGUUGAGGUUGGCGGAAUUCGUCGUGUAGCGGUGAAAUGCAUAGAUAUGACGAAGAACUCCGAUUGCGUAGGCAGCUGACCAAGCUGUAAAUGACGCUCAUGCACGAAAGUGCGGGGAUCGAACAGGAUUAGAUACCCUGGUA
rnacentral:rRNA from 1 species